GAUGAACGCUGGCGGCGUGCUUAACACAUGCAAGUCGAACGGAAAGGCUCCUGCUUGCAGGGGUACUCGAGUGGCGAACGGGUGAGUAACGCGUGGGUGAUCUGCCCUGCACUUCGGGAUAAGCCUGGGAAACUGGGUCUAAUACCGGAUAGGACCACAUUUUGGAUGGUGUGGUGGAAAGUUUUUCGGUGUGGGAUGAGCUCGCGGCCUAUCAGCUUGUUGGUGGGGUAAUGGCCUACCAAGGCGUCGACGGGUAGCCGGCCUGAGAGGGUGUACGGCCACAUUGGGACUGAGAUACGGCCCAGACUCCUACGGGAGGCAGCAGUGGGGAAUAUUGCACAAUGGGCGCAAGCCUGAUGCAGCGACGCCGCGUGGGGGAUGACGGCCUUCGGGUUGUAAACUCCUUUCGCUAGGGACGAAGCGCAAGUGACGGUACCUGGAGAAGAAGCACCGGCUAACUACGUG
rnacentral:rRNA from 1 species